UGGGGAAUAUUGCACAAUGGGGGAAACCCUGAUGCAGCGACGCCGCGUGAACGAAGAAGGUAUUCGUAUCGUAAAGUUUUGUCCUAUGGGAAGAUAAUGACAGUACCAUAGAAGAAAGCUCCGGCUAAAUACGUGCCAGCAGCCGCGGUAAUACGUAUGGAGCGAGCGUUGUCCGGAAUUAUUGGGCGUAAAGGGUACGCAGGCGGUUUAAUAAGUCGAAUGUUAAAGAUCGGGGCUCAACCCCGUAAAGCAUUGGAAACUGAUAAACUUGAGUAGUGGAGAGGAAAGUGGAAUUCCUAGUGUAGUGGUGAAAUACGUAGAUAUUAGGAGGAAUACCAGUAGCGAAGGCGACUUUCUGGACACAAACUGACGCUGAGGUACGAAAGCGUGGGGAGCAAACAGG
rnacentral:rRNA from 1 species